GCCAGCAGCCAUAUCACCCUGCAACUCACAACUGGUAGCCCCACAGAAGCUCAGCAGGUGUGAGCCUGGUCAGUACCUGGAUGGGAGACCUCCUGGGGAAAAGUAAGGUUGCUGCUGGAA
rfam:Lepisosteus oculatus linkage group LG21, whole genome shotgun sequence.